rnacentral:rRNA from 1 species
AUCCUGGCUCAGGAUGAACGCUAGCGGCAGGCUUAACACAUGCAAGUCGAGGGGCAGCGCGGAGUAGCAAUACUCUGGCGGCGACCGGCGGAAGGGUGCGUAACGCGUGAGCAACAUGCCCGUAUCAGGAGGAUAACCGAUGGAAACGUCGCCUAAUACUCCAUAACAACAGUGGGGGACAUCCCUUGUGUUUGAAAGCUUUGGCGGAUACGGAUUGGCUCGCGUGACAUUAGCUAGUUGGCGGGGUAACGGCCCACCAAGGCGACGAUGUCUAGGGGUUCUGAGAGGAACGGUCCCCCACAUUGGAACUGAGACACGGUCCAGACUCCGUACGGGAGGCAGCAGUGAGGAAUAUUGGACAAUGGCCGGAAGGCUGAUCCAGCCAUGCCGCGUGCGGGAAGACCGGCCCUAGUGGGUUGUAAACCGUCUUUUGUUGGGGAGCAAUAAGGUCCACGUGUGGAUUGAUGAGAGUACCCAGCGAAUAAACAUCGGCUAACUCCGUGCC